GCCUGGAUGGCUCAGUCGGUUAAGCAUCUGACUUCGGCUCAGGUCAUGAUCUCACGGUUCGUGGGUUUGAGCCCCGUGUUGGGCU
rnacentral:tRNA from 1 species